GUGCUCACUUCAGCAGCAUCUCUGCUAAAACUGGAAUCAUACAGAGGCAUUAGCAUGGCAUCUGUAGAAGAAAGACACACAUUGGUGGGCUAUUCAUUACUCUUUA